UACGAAGGGGGCUAGCGUUGCUCGGAAUCACUGGGCGUAAAGCGCACGUAGGCGGCUUUUUUAAGUCAGGGGUGAAAUCCUGGAGCUCAACUCCAGAACUGCCUUUGAUACUGAGAGGCUCGAGUCCGGGAGAGGUGAGUGGAACUGCGAGUGUAGAGGUGAAAUUCGUAGAUAUUCGCAAGAACACCAGUGGCGAAGGCGGCUCACUGGCCCGAUACUGACGCUGAGGCACGAAAGCGUGGGGAGCAAACAGG
rnacentral:rRNA from 1 species